CUGGUUGCCCAGUAAAUAAAUGUAACAUCUAUUUGUCACCAUGGAAACACCUUCUGUUGUCCAAAAGAUGCAAAAUAGAAGAAUGUGGGGGCCUGAAAACCAAAGCAAUGAAGUAAGAAGCGGCAUAUUUGUUCAUUCAUCUUCUGCAGGGAGAUGUUUAUUACAAUUAAGAGCAGGGACUGUGGCUCUCCAGGUGCUGCUAAAUUGCAAAUUCUGGCAGCUGUACCCUAUAUGCGGAAAAGCUUGGAAUUGCAAGGAGAUGGAAUUCAUCAACAUUUGAAUGCAUAUAGAACGAUCAUAGUUGUUGUUAUGAUCUCUUGUAUUAAUUUGUAGAAAAAUCUUUAAAUCUU